GAAAAGCAGCUACUCUACAGAAACGUGAAAGCUCUUGAUAUAUUUUAAGGCUCCGUUUGGAUUGAUUCACACACGAGCUCGCGCAUUACGUAACAGCAAAAAGACAGAGGGCAGGUUACCGGAUUAAGAGCUGCCUAUUUGCAUUUAAAUUUGUGCUAUUAAAGGGCGAAGUGCUGGAGGAGGCCUGUAAGUGAAAACAGUCAUUUGGAGAUGAGGUGCUCGGCUUAAAUAAUAUAUUUGCAAGUAUGUGACGAUAAGUGAACAAAUGUUUAUAACACUGAACAUGUGAGAAAGAGAAACAAUUAAGGCGUUAGUUGUGUGUUCGCGCGCGCGUGUGCGUAACUGUCUUUUCAUUCACUCAUCAGCUUUAAUGUCCUCAAGAAACUAUUAUUUUCUUCCCAUAUCUCAGACAUGUAGUGGCCUCCCCUAUUUGAAUGCCUACACAUGAUAAAUUCCUGCAUUACACACACAUUACACACACACUGCACACACACACUGCUCACACAGUGAGCCAAUGCGUUUUGUCAGGAAAACCUUGAGCGUGUUUUCUGCGCACAGUCUCUCACCAUGGAUCAUCCCUGAUCCUGUGCUGUGAGGCGCUCACUGGGGGGGUUUGGAGUCUGCGGGCCUAAAUGACCUUUACGAUUUUACGAAACGCGCUCUCCGACACUCCCUCACAUUCUGCUGAGAGUCAUCAAUUAUGCAGGAAAACCGCUCGCGCUGAGGGGGAAGGUAGCAGCAACAAUAUGGCGACAACCGCAGUUUCUCCCCAAGCUUUUUCACAUCUGCAGUCCUGCAACGGCUCUCUGGAUUCAUUGUAACGCUUACGAAAGCUGCUACCGUGGAUGGUACAAACCUAAAGACUAAGUAGCUGCAGGAUGAAAACAUGGCCGCACCCCUUCUUGCACCGCCAGGACCUGACAGCUUCAGGAAGUUUACUCCAGAAUCUUUGGCGGUCCUUGAGCUGCGCAUCCAAGAGGAGAAGAACAAAAAGCCACCCAAGCAGGACAGCAGCUACCGUGACGACGAUGACGAGAACAAGCCCAAACCCAACAGUGACCUGGAGGCUGGGAAGAGCCUGCCCUACAUCUAUGGGGACAUCCCUAAGGGAAUGGCGGCGGUACCACUGGAGGAUCUGGACCCAUUCUACGUGAAUUCUCAAAAAGUGAGUAUUCACACACACACACACACACACA